rnacentral:rRNA from 1 species
AAUGAACGCUGGCGGCGUGCCUAACACAUGCAAGUCGAACGGUCGCAAGACAGUGGCGGACGGGUGAGUAACGCGUGGGAAUCUGCCCUCAGGUGGGAAAUAACAGUGGGAAACCGCUGCUAAUAACCCAUAUGGCGAAGGCUGAAAGAUUUAUCGCCUGAGGAUGAGCCCGCGUCCGAUUAGCUAGUUGGUGGGGUAAAGGCUUACCAAGGCUACGAUCGGUAGCUGGUCUGAGAGGAUGAUCAGCCACACUGGGACUGAGACACGGCCCAGACUCCUACGGGAGGCAGCAGUGGGGAAUUUUCGGCAAUGGGCGAAAGCCUGACCGAGCAACGCCGCGUGAGUGAUGAAGGACUGUGGUCUGUAAAGCUCUUUUGUGAGGGACGAAUUCUGACGGUACCUCACGAAUAAGGAUCGGCUAAUUCCGUGCCAGCAGCCGCGGUAAUACGGGGGAUCCAAGCGUUAUUCGGAAUUAUUGGGCGUAAAGCGUACGUAGGCGGUUUGCCAAGUCUGGGGUUAAAGCCCGCAGCUUAACUGCGGAUCGGCCCUGGAAACUGGCAGACUUGAGUAUGGUAGGGGCAAGGGGAAUUCCACAUGUAGCGGUGAAAUGCGUAGAUAUGUGGAGGAACACCUGUGGCGAAAGCGCCUUGCUGGACUGUAACUGACGCUGAGGUACGAAAGCCAGGGGAGCAAAUGGGAUUAGAUACCCCAGUAGUCCUGGCCGUAAACGAUGGACACUAGGUGUGAUGCGUAUCGACCCGCGUCGUGCCGUAGCUAACGCGUUAAGUGUCCCGCCUGGGGAGUACGCACGCAAGUGUGAAACUCAAAGGAAUUGACGGGGGCCCGCACAAGCGGUGGAGCAUGUGGUUUAAUUCGAUGCAACCCGAAGAACCUUACCAGGGCUUGACAUGUCGAGAAUCCUGCGGAAACGUGGGAGUGCCUUCGGGAACUCGAACACAGGUGCUGCAUGGCUGUCGUCAGCUCGUGUCGUGAGAUGUUGGGUUAAGUCCCGCAACGAGCGCAACCCUUGUUGUCAGUUGCCAUCAUUAAGUUGGGCACUCUGGCGAGACUGCCGGGGACAACUCGGAGGAAGGUAGGGAUGACGUCAAGUCAGCAUGGCCCUUACGCCCUGGGCUACACACGUGCUACAAUGCGGCGGACAAAGAGUUGCGAACCUGCGAAGGGGAGCCAAUCUCAAAAACCGUCGCUCAGUUCAGAUUGGAGGCUGCAACUCGCCUCCAUGAAGUCGGAAUCGCUAGUAAUCGCAGGUCAGCAUACUGCGGUGAAUACGUUCCCGGGCCUUGUACACACCGCCCGUCACACCAUGGAAGCUGGUCAUGCCCGAAGUCGGUGUACCCGCCGAAGGCAGGGCUGGUGACUGGGGUG